rnacentral:rRNA from 1 species
AACGCUAGCUACAGGCUUAACACAUGCAAGUCGAGGGGCAGCAUGAACUUAGCUUGCUAAGUUUGAUGGCGACCGGCGCACGGGUGAGUAACACGUAUCCAACCUGCCGAUGACUCGGGGAUAGCCUUUCGAAAGAAAGAUUAAUACAAGAUGGCAUCAUGAGUCCGCAUGUUCACAUGAUUAAAGGUAUUCCGGUAGACGAUGGGGAUGCGUUCCAUUAGAUAGUAGGCGGGGUAACGGCCCACCUAGUCUUCGAUGGAUAGGGGUUCUGAGAGGAAGGUCCCCCACAUUGGAACUGAGACACGGUCCAAACUCCUACGGGAGGCAGCAGUGGGGAAUAUUGGUCAAUGGGCGAGAGCCUGAACCAGCCAAGUAGCGUGAAGGAUGACUGCCCUAUGGGUUGUAAACUUCUUUUAUAAAGGAAUAAAGUCGGGUAUGGAUACCUGUUUGCAUGUACUUUAUGAAUAAGGAUCGGCUAACUCCGUGCCAGCAGCCGCGGUAAUACGGAGGAUCCGAGCGUUAUCCGGAUUUAUUGGGUUUAAAGGGAGCGUAGAUGGAUGUUUAAGUCAGUUGUGAAAGUUUGCGGCUCAACCGUAAAAUUGCAGUUGAUACUGGAUAUCUUGAGUGCAGUUGAGGCAGGCGGAAUUCGUGGUGUAGCGGUGAAAUGCUUAGAUAUCACGAAGAACUCCGAUUG